UAGAUAAGAAAGAAGAUGAUCAAAAAAAUAGGUACACCUAAUUUGUAUUGUGCAAUUUUCUGUUAUUUGUGUUCUUCAUGGAUUUUUUUUUUCGU
rnacentral:ribozyme from 14 species